GAUGAACGCUGGCGGCGUGCUUAAUACAUGCAAGUCGAACGAUGAAGCCGGGAGCUUGCUCCUGGUGGAUUAGUGGCGAACGGGUGAGUAACACGUGAGUAACCUGCCCUUCACUCUGGAAUAACCGCCGGAAACGGCGGCUAAUACCGGAUACGACCCUCGGAGGCAUCUUCUGGGGGUGGAAAGAUUUAUCGGUGGAGGAUGGACUCGCGGCCUAUCAGGUAGUUGGUGAGGUAAUGGCUCACCAAGCCGACGACGGGUAGCCGGCCUGAGAGGGUGACCGGCCACACUGGGACUGAGACACGGCCCAGACUCCUACGGGAGGCAGCAGUAGGGAAUAUUGCACAAUGGGCGCAAGCCUGAUGCAGCAACGCCGCGUGAGGGACGACGGCCUUCGGGUUGUAAACCUCUUUUAGUAGGGAAGAAGCGAA
rnacentral:rRNA from 1 species